rnacentral:rRNA from 1 species
UACGUAGGGUGCAAGCGUUAUCCGGAAUUAUUGGGCGUAAAGAGCUCGUAGGCGGUCUGUCGCGUCUGCUGUGAAAACUCAGGGCUUAACCCUGAGCUUGCAGUGGGUACGGGCAGACUAGAGUGCGGUAGGGGAGACUGGAAUUCCUGGUGUAGCGGUGAAAUGCGCAGAUAUCAGGAGGAACACCGGUGGCGAAGGCGGGUCUCUGGGCCGUAACUGACGCUGGAGGAGCGAAAGCAUGGGGAGCGAACAGG